GAACGCUAGCUACAGGCUUAACACAUGCAAGUCGAGGGGCAUCAGGAAGAAAGCUUGCUUUCUUUGCUGGCGACCGGCGCACGGGUGAGUAACACGUAUCCAACCUGCCCUUUACUCGGGGAUAGCCUUUCGAAAGAAAGAUUAAUACCCGAUGGCAUAAUGAUUCCGCAUGGUUUCAUUAUUAAAGGAUUCCGGUAAAGGAUGGGGAUGCGUUCCAUUAGGUUGUUGGUGAGGUAACGGCUCACCAAGCCUUCGAUGGAUAGGGGUUCUGAGAGGAAGGUCCCCCACAUUGGAACUGAGACACGGUCCAAACUCCUACGGGAGGCAGCAGUGAGGAAUAUUGGUCAAUGGGCGCUAGCCUGAACCAGCCAAGUAGCGUGAAGGAUGAAGGCUCUAUGGGUCGUAAACUUCUUUUAUAUAAGAAUAAAGUGCAGUAUGUAUACUGUUUUGUAUGUAUUAUAUGAAUAAGGAUCGGCUAACUCCGUGCCAGCAGCCGCGGUAAUACGGAGGAUCCGAGCGUUAUCCGGAUUUAUUGGGUUUAAAGGGAGCGUAGGUGGACUGGUAAGUCAGUUGUGAAAGUUUGCGGCUCAACCGUAAAAUUGCAGUUGAUACUGUCAGUCUUGAGUACAGUAGAGGUGGGCGGAAUUCGUGGUGUAGCGGUGAAAUGCUUAGAUAUCACGAAGAACUCCGAUUGCGAAGGCAGCUCACUGGACUGCAACUGACACUGAUGCUCGAAAGUGUGGGUAUCAAACAGGAUUAGAUACCCUGGUAGUCCACACAGUAAACGAUGAAUACUCGCUGUUUGCGAUAUACAGUAAGCGGCCAAGCGAAAGCAUUAAGUAUUCCACCUGGGGAGUACGCCGGCAACGGUGAAACUCAAAGGAAUUGACGGGGGCCCGCACAAGCGGAGGAACAUGUGGUUUAAUUCGAUGAUACGCGAGGAACCUUACCCGGGCUUAAAUUGCAGUGGAAUGAUGUGGAAACAUGUCAGUGAGCAAUCACCGCUGUGAAGGUGCUGCAUGGUUGUCGUCAGCUCGUGCCGUGAGGUGUCGGCUUAAGUGCCAUAACGAGCGCAACCCUUAUCUUUAGUUACUAACAGGUUAUGCUGAGGACUCUAGAGAGACUGCCGUCGUAAGAUGUGAGGAAGGUGGGGAUGACGUCAAAUCAGCACGGCCCUUACGUCCGGGGCUACACACGUGUUACAAUGGGGGGUACAGAAGGCAGCUAGCGGGUGACCGUAUGCUAAUCCCAAAAGCCUCUCUCAGUUCGGAUCGAAGUCUGCAACCCGACUUCGUGAAGCUGGAUUCGCUAGUAAUCGCGCAUCAGCCACGGCGCGGUGAAUACGUUCCCGGGCCUUGUACACACCGCCCGUCAAGCCAUGGGAGCCGGGGGUACCUGAAGUACGUAACCGCAAGGAUCGUCCUAGGGUAAAACUGGUGACU
rnacentral:rRNA from 1 species